AUCCAGCUGACGAGUCCCAAAUAGGACGAAAUGCGCGUCCUAGAU
rfam:Schistosoma margrebowiei strain Zambia genome assembly, scaffold: SMRZ_contig0001870